GUUGUAUAGUCAAGUAAUUAAGUGCAUGUGGUGGAUGCCUUGGCAGUCAGAGGCGAUGAAAGACGUGAUAGCCUGCGAAAAGCUCCGGGGAGGCGGCAAAUAUCCUUUGAUCCGGAGAUGUCUGAAUGGGGGAACCCACCUACUUUAAGGUAGGUAUUGCAACAUGAAUACAUAGUGUUGCAAGGCGAACGAGGGGAAGUGAAACAUCUCAGUACCCUUAGGAAAAGAAAUCAAUUGAGAUUCCCUCAGUAGCGGCGAGCGAACGGGGAUCAGCCCAUUAAGUUAUGUGUGUUUUAGUGGAACGCUCUGGGAAGUGCGAACGUAGAGGGUGAUAUUCCCGUACACGAAAGGGCACACAUAAUGAUGACGAGUAGGGCGAGGCACGUGAAACCUUGUCUGAAUAUGGGGGGACCAUCCUCCAAGGCUAAAUACUCCUGACUGACCGAUAGUGAACCAGUACCGUGAGGGAAAGGCGAAAAGAACCCCUGUGAGGGGAGUGAAAUAGAUCCUGAAACCGCAUGCAUACAAGCAGUGGGAGCACCUUCGUGGUGUGACUGCGUACCUUUUGUAUAAUGGGUCAGCGACUUAUAUUCAGUAGCGAGGUUAACCGUAUAGGGGAGCCGUAGAGAAAUCGAGUCUUAAUAGGGCGUUUAGUUGCUGGGUAUAGACCCGAAACCAGGCGAUCUAUCCAUGAGCAGGUUGAAGGUUGGGUAACACUAACUGGAGGACCGAACCCACUGUCGUUGAAAAGCCAGGGGAUGACUUGUGGAUAGGGGUGAAAGGCUAAUCAAGCCUGGUGAUAGCUGGUUCUCCCCGAAAGCUAUUUAGGUAGCGCCUCGGACGAAUACCAUAGGGGGUAGAGCACUGUUUCGGCUAGGGGGUCAUCCCGACUUACCAAACCGAUGCAAACUCCGAAUACCUAUGAGUACUAUCCGGGAGACAGACUGCGGGUGCUAACGUCCGUAGUCAAGAGGAAAACAAUCCAGACCGCCAGCUAAGGCCCCAAAAUCAUAGUUAAGUGGGAAACGAUGUGGGAAGGCAUAGACAGCUAGGAGGUUGGCUUAGAAGCAGCCACCCUUUAAAGAAAGCGUAAUAGCUCACUAGUCGAGUCGGCCUGCGCGGAAGAUGUAACGGGGCUAAAACUAUGUGCCGAAGCUGCGGAUNNUUGACAUUAGUCAAGUGGUAGGGGAGCGUUCUGUAAGCCGAUGAAGGUGUAUUGAGAAGUAUGCUGGAGGUAUCAGAAGUGCGAAUGCUGACGUGAGUAACGACAAAACGGGUGAAAAACCCGUUCGCCGAAAGACCAAGGGUUCCAGUCCAACGUUAA
rnacentral:rRNA from 1 species